rnacentral:rRNA from 1 species
GAUGAACGCUGGCGGCGUGCCUAAUACAUGCAAGUCGAGCGAACGGACGAGAAGCUUGCUUCUCUGAUGUUAGCGGCGGACGGGUGAGUAACACGUGGAUAACCUACCUAUAAGACUGGGAUAACUUCGGGAAACCGGAGCUAAUACCGGAUAAUAUUUUGAACCGCAUGGUUCAAAAGUAAAAGACGGUCUUGCUGUCACUUAUAGAUGGAUCCGCGCUGCAUUAGCUAGUUGGUAAGGUAACGGCUUACCAAGGCAACGAUGCAUAGCCGACCUGAGAGGGUGAUCGGCCACACUGGAACUGAGACACGGUCCAGACUCCUACGGGAGGCAGCAGUAGGGAAUCUUCCGCAAAGGGCGAAAGCCUGACGGAGCAACGCCGCGUGAGUGAUGAAGGUCUUCGGAUCGUAAAACUCUGUUAUUAGGGAAGAACAUAUGUGUAAGUAACUGUGCACGUCUUGACGGUACCUAAUCAGAAAGCCACGGCUAACUACGUG